UACGUAGGGGGCAAGCGUUGGUCCGGAUUUAUUGGGCGUAAAGAGCGUGUAGGCGGCUAAAUAGGUCUGUUGUGAAAAACUCGAGGCUCAACCUCGAGAUGCCGAUGGAAACCAUUUGGCUAGAGUCCGGAAGAGGAGAGUGGAAUUCCCGGUGUAGCGGUGAAAUGCGCAGAUAUCGGGAAGAACACCCGUGGCUAAGGCGGCUCUCUAGUACGGUACUGACGCUGAGACGCGAAAGCGUGGGGAGCGAACGAGG
rnacentral:rRNA from 1 species